rnacentral:rRNA from 1 species
CAGAUAUCAGGAGGAACACCGAUGGCGAAGGCAGGUCUCUGGCCCAAUACUGACACUGAGGAGCGAAAGCGUGGGGAGCGAACAGGAUUAGAUACCCUGGUAGUCCACGCCGUAAACGGUGGGCGCUAGUUGUGCGAACCUUCCACGGUUUGUGCGACGCAGCUAACGCAUUAAGCGCCCCGCCUGGGGAGUACGAUCGCAAGAUUAAAACUCAAAGGAAUUGACGGGGCCCCGCACAAGCAGCGGAGCAUGCGGCUUAAUUCGACGCAACGCGAAGAACCUUACCAAGGCUUGACAUAUACAGGAAUAUGGCAGAGAUGUCAUAGCCGCAAGGUCUGUAUACAGGUGGUGCAUGGUUGUCGUCAGCUCGUGUCGUGAGAUGUUGGGUUAAGUCCCGCAACGAGCGCAACCCUCGUUCUGUGUUGCCAGCAUUUAGUUGGGGACUCACAGGAGACUGCCGGGGUUAACUCGGAGGAAGGUGGGGAUGACGUCAAAUCAUCAUGCCCCUUAUGUCUUGGGCUGCACGCAUGCUACAAUGGCUGGUACAAACGGCUGCAAUACCGCAAGGUGGAGCGAAUCCGAGAAAGCCAGUCUCAGUUCGGAUUGGGGUCUGCAACUCGACCCCAUGAAGUCGGAGUUGCUAGUAAUCGUAGAUCAGCAACGCUACGGUGAAUACGUUCCCGGGGCUUGUACACACCGCCCGUCACAUCACGAAAGUCGGUAACACCCAAAGUCAGUGGCCCAACCGCAAGGAG